UUUAAUUAUGAGUAAAAAUAUCGUACCCGCACGGAAGGGUCUAAAUAUAUAAAGCACACACACACACACACACACACACACACACACACGCACAGAGUUGUCAUAAUCCAUCUGCUUUUUCGUGUUCCUGCGCCAACCAACCAACCAUGCAGUCAGCCAGUCAUUUUUUUUGUUUUUGUUUUUUUGUUUUGUUUAUUUGUAUGUUUUUCCAUUUCUCUGCAGUCAACCAGUCACUUUUUUUUUGUUUUACUUGUUUUUUUUUGUUGUUGUUGUUUUCCAUUUCUCUGAUUCGCAACACACUGAGAGCACCUUUCUUUUAUUCAUCCACCUUUCAGAACCGAGACGCAACACAUUUUUUCUCCAUUUCUCUGAUUCGCAACACACUGAGAGCACCAACAUUCCCUUUCUUUUAUUCAUUCCCUUUUCCGAACAGAGACGCAACACACGCAACACAACGCAACUUUUUUUCCCUCGCAUUCCUUCCCAUUUCUUUCUUUCUCUUCACUCUCCUUCUCAAAAGUUCCCUUUUCCUCCCUUCCCCUUUCCUUUUCCUUUCCUUCAUUUCCAAUCAACACGACACGACACGAAACACUUCCCAACGCAACACUUUUUCCCUCGCAUUCCUUCCCAUCUCUCUCUCUCUCUUCCCUCUCCUUUCCGUAUAGUUCCCUUUUCCUCCCGUUCCCUUCCCUUUCCCUUUCCUUUCCUUCAUUUCCCAUCAACACUUCCGAACGCAACACUCGUGAACCGAAACACAAAUACAAGUUAAUUAAGGAACACUGUCGCUAGGUAACACAGGCAAAGGAAGGUGAAGACGCAACACAAAACGCAACUCAACGCAACACGACACUUCCGAACGCAACACUUGUCAACAGAAACACAAAUACACGUUAAUUAAGGAUCACCAUCGCCAGGUAACACACGCAAAACUCAAUUCAACUCAACACAACGCAACUCAAAGCGACGCAACACAGACUCCAACACUCCCAACAGCACUGAACGCAACGGAUGGGAUGGGAUGGGAAAUACUGUGUAAAAACGUAAGGGCGUGGUAGAGGCGAAUAGAAGGGAGGAGAAAAAAGAAGAGGAGGAAGAAGGGGAAAGGGGAGGAGGGUGUAGUGUUGUGAGGUUGUGUAGAGGGGGAACUGAAGGGGUAUAGAGGGGAAAGGGGUGGGGAAAGAUGGGGAAAAGGGAAGAAGGGUAAAGGGGGCGAAGUGUUUAGUGACGGUUGAAGAAGAGGGGAAAGGGAAGGGGAAAAGGGAAGGUGUGUGUUGUGACGUUGUGUAGAAGGGGUAUAGAAGAAAAGGAGGAGGAAGAAGGGGAAAGAAGGGGACGUAGUGUGUUGUGAAGUGUUGCGAGCAGUAAAAUAUCGAGUAAUAGGGGAAAGGGGAGGAAGGGAAAAAGGGAAGCUGUGUGUUGUGACGUUGUGUAGAAGGGAUAAAGAAAAGGAGGAAGAAGGGGAAAGAAGAGGACGAGGUGUAUUGUGAAGUGUUGCGAGCAGUAAAAUAUCGAGUAAUAGGGGAAAGGGGAGGAAGGGAAAAAGGGAAGCUGUGUGUUGUGACGUUGUGUAGAAGGGAUAAAGAAAAGGAGGAAGAAGGGGAAAGAAGGGGACGAGGUGUGUUGUGAAGUGUUGCGAGCAGUAAAAUAUCGAGUAAUAGGGGAAAGGGGAGGAAGGGAAAAAGGGAAGCUGUGUGUUGUGACGUUGUGUAGAAGGGAUAAAGAAAAGGAGGAAGAAGGGGAAAGAAGGGGACGAGGUGUGUUGUGAAGUGUUGCGAGCAGUAAAAUAUCGAGUACUUGUGUUCCUGUACCGACUGAUAACACUAACGCUCACAGGUAGACAGGUAUACACACGCCAGCCGCCACAUACUGACACAAGAACACCCACCCACCCA